rnacentral:lncRNA from 1 species
AUUUCUUUAUCAAAUUGUUAUUCUUUGUUUUUUUUUUUUUUUGUCUUCUAACAAAAUGUUAUUCACCCAUUCAAUAAACGAUUAGUUUUGGGGUUUUAGUUUGAUUUUUUUUUUAACAAUUUUUUUUUUUGUCUUCUAACGAAUUGAUUUAGUUGAUACUUUUGGUUCGAGUAAUUUGUUAGAAAAUUUAUUUGUUGGGAAGAAAGUAGAAAAAAAAAAUAUUCUUCUUUUGUUUAGUAGUUUAUUUG